GGCUGGAUCACCUCCUAACAGGGAGACAAUAACUGAUUGUGAUGUCUGAGUAAUUUAUUCUCAGGCCAUGAUCCUGUCAUCUCGAAGGUCGAUCGGUACCUCAACUUGAGGGUAAGAGAAGAGCUGAUUAAUCAGCUUGGAGAUUUAUCCAUCAAUUUCAGUUCCUAAACUUUGUCUAGGUCACCCCACAGGGUCGUCAGUUUAACUGAAGUAUUUUGCUUUAAAAAGCAUUUUGCUUUGAGAUUAAAUAAGACGUUACUGAGCGGUAGCAACUCCUGGGCCAUUAGCUCAGGUGGUUAGAGCGCACCCCUGAUAAGGGUGAGGUCCCUGGUUCAAGUCCAGGAUGGCCCAUUCACCGCCUGCUGAGCAGGCAGGACUACAUGGCUGGGGGUUUAGCUCAGUUGGUAGAGCGCCUGCUUUGCAAGCAGGAUGUCAGCGGUUCGAGUCCGCUAACCUCCAUCCAACAACGUGCUUAGCCUUCAAGCCAGACAUGCCGGUGGCAUGCAAGCCUAGGAGUUAGGCUGUGUUGGUGAUCUUGACGUUUGUUCGCUGAGGAUUUUAGCUUCUUUUCAUGGGCAUUCAUGAGUAUUCAUGAGCAUGCAUGAAAAGACGCUGAAUUCAAUGACUGCCUCCCGCAAGGAGGCAGUUUGUAUUUCAGCAGAACCUUGACAACUGUAUAGGUAAGUCUGGAAAAUAAGCAUCUCAUGGAUGCUUGAUCCAGGGUUCAAGAUAGCUCCAGCGAUGGGGUUGUUUUGGGCACUGAAUCAAGAAAAUUCUAUUGAGUUUUUAGAGCCGAGAGCUUUCAGUUUUCUUGUCUAUCCGCCGAGGGUAGAUGAGUUUGAUCCUGGCAUUCAAACCUCAGCAGUGGCCAUGAGCAAUUAUGGCUGCAGCUGGA
rnacentral:tRNA from 1 species